AGCUGAGGCACCUCUCAUCGGAAAAGUUCCAGGCUUCCGGCUGAAUGAGAUGGCUGAGAGUGAGCUGAAUCACCAAGUCUAAAUAGAAAUGGAAGCGGAACAAUGCGGCUUGUACGUUGACAGUGGAUCGGCUAAGGAAUCGGAGAGGGAAGAAAGACGAAAAGUACAAGGACCCCGGAGAACAGAACGGAACAGACCAACUCUCUGAUGUACUUCUUUGGGAAAACCCAGAACCCAAAACCCAGAAGCC